UACGUAGGGGGCAAGCGUUGUCCCGGAUUUAUUGGGCGUAAAGAGCGUGUAGGCGGCCUUACAGGUCAGCUGUGAAAACUCGAGGCUCAACCUCGAGACGUCGGUUGAAACCGUAAGGCUAGAGUCCGGAAGAGGAGAGUGGAAUUCCCGGUGUAGCGGUGAAAUGCGCAGAUAUCGGGAAGAACACCCGUGGCGAAGGCGGCUCUCUGGGACGGUACUGACGCUGAGACGCGAAAGCGUGGGGAGCGAACAGG
rnacentral:rRNA from 1 species